GACGAACGCUGGCGGCGUGCCUAAUACAUGCAAGUCGAGCGGACGAUUCGAAAGCUUGCUUUUGAAUCGUUAGCGGCGGACGGGUGAGUAACACGUGGGCAACCUGCCCUGUAGACGGGGAUAACACCGAGAAAUCGGUGCUAAUACCGGAUAACACGAAAUGUCGCAUGACGUUUCGUUGAAAGGCGGCGCAAGCUGCCGCUACAGGAUGGGCCCGCGGCGCAUUAGCUAGUUGGUGAGGUAACGGCUCACCAAGGCGACGAUGCGUAGCCGACCUGAGAGGGUGAUCGGCCACACUGGGACUGAGACACGGCCCAGACUCCUACGGGAGGCAGCAGUAGGGAAUCUUCCGCAAUGGACGAAAGUCUGACGGAGCAACGCCGCGUGAGCGAAGAAGGCCUUCGGGUCGUAAAGCUCUGUUGUUAGGGAAGAACAAGUAGCGUAGUAACUGACGUUACUAUGACGGUACCUAACGAGAAAGCCACGGCUAACUACGUG
rnacentral:rRNA from 1 species